GGCGGCGUCACGGGAUGGGGCUGGGCGGCAGCGCGGGGAUCGCGGCUGCGGUGCGGGGUGAGCCCGCUGCCCAUAGCAGCCCGGACACAGCUGUUCUCACUUGGAAGUCUGUAACUCGUCUGAAGUGGCAUCAAAGCAAAAUAAAACAGAACGUGGGUCUCAUGACCGACACCUUUGACUUGUGGCUGCCGUGGCUUCACGUAGUUGUGCUUCUGGCUUUCUCCAAAGGAUGUGCAGCAGGUUCCCCCUCCUGGCAGCACGGCUCUCAGGACACAAGCCGUCUGCUCCAGCUUCUAAUCGUUCCCAGAGGCUUUCAAUUCAAUUACUUUCUAACAGCAAGAAAGACAUAUUCCUGUGAGCGAGGAUAUUGGAAUCAGCAUCCGCAAUCAGCCUCAUUUCUGGCUUGUGGUGAUUAAACUUGAAGAUUGAUUGGAAGACACUAAGGAAGAAUGUAUAAUGAAGUAUGUUGACAAGAAAGUAGGAAAAGAGUCAGCUGAUAGGGAUUCUAAUACCAUAACAAUUAUAAAUAAUCUAAGCAAUCUUAGACUAGUUGACACUUUUAAAUUGAAGAUGCAGAACCUGAUUUCCCACUUCUCUCCCAACCAUCCAUCUCUCAUUUAGGUGACUGAGAAGAGGGCACAAGAACUACCUCCUACUUUGAGAUGAUUUUUCUGUGGAGGGAGGAGACUCUACUGAGCAGUAGAGAAUUAGGACUCUCAGUGUGUCUGCUGGGCAUUCUCAGCUGGAGUUUCCAUUUAUUCACCCUUCCUGGAAGAAUUACCCUUUUAAUCACUGAGUGUGUGCCAAAGCAGUGAAAAAGAGAAACCACAAAAUUUUUGAAGAUGUGUGAAAUAGAUGUGCAAAAUUCCUUCCAGUUGCUUUCUGUGUCAGCAUUUUCAUGACUCCUGGCAUUUUGCUAUAGUCUUAUGUUAUUAAAAUAAGUGACACAGAAGCAGCAAGUGUAAGCUUAAGACUGUAUAAAGAAAUAUGAUGACUUUAUAUAUGUCUUUUGUAGGAUCCAAGGUAUGGAACAAGGAUUGUCAUGUGAUUGAAUCAGAGAGCAGCCUUACCAGUGUAUUUUAUUUGCAAUGUCCUACCCAUUAAGAACAUAAAAAAAUAUUGAAAACUUAAGGAUGGAAAGAAUGAUGGGCAAGUGUUCUUUUAAAAAUUAAUUAAAGAAAGAUUAGGAAGAUUUUAGAAAUCUGCAGCAAGAGACCAUAUCAACGAAUGGAGGAACACAGUGAAUUAUAGAUGUAAACUUUCGACUACCUGUAGUGCUUGAUUAUAAAUACCAGAGCAGGAGAGAUUGAUAAACAUCAUCUUGCAAGCUCAGAGAAAUAUCUGAAAGUGUAUUGAUCAAUGCUGGACUCAGUACUGUGCUGCUGGUAAAUGGCUUCCUUAUCUCAUUCUGAUCACAGGCUACAGUGAGGGAAUCAAAAGAGGACAAAGGACAAAACCCAAACCUGUGAGCUUUCCCAAGAAGUUCUGUUACCAUGCAAAGAAUGUUAGCUCUAGGUAUGCAGAAAAAUGUGAAAGGAAAUAUUCACUUUUUAAAAUACUGUCUGUUAUAUGAUCUGAGUGAAACCUCAUAAAGAUUGAUGACAGUAACACUUAACACAGUUCUGCACUAAUAACUAAGAACUAAUAACAUGAUAAUCUGUGGUCCUGUUUUCUUCAGCAGAGAUAUUAUUAUUACAUUCUGCCACUCAUUCAGUUAAAGCAGAAGUUUGCAGAUAAAUAAUUAGGGUUGCAAGCUGUAUAAACUGAAUAAAAAUGAACACUGAGAUUUUUUUGCCUUU